rnacentral:rRNA from 1 species
CCUACGGGUGGCAGCAGUGGAGAAUCAUUCACAAUGGGGGAAACCCUGAUGCUGCGACGCCGCGUGGGGGAAUGAAGGUCUUCGGAUUGUAAACCCCUGUCAUGUGGGAGCAAAUUAAAAAGAUAGUACCACAAGAGGAAGAGACGACUAACUCUGUGCCAGCCGCCGCGGUAAUACAGAGGUCUCAAGCGUUGUUCGGAAUCACUGGGCGUAAAGCGUGCGUAGGCUGUUUCGUAAGUCGGGUGUGAAAGGCGCGGGCUCAACCCGCGGACGGCACAUGAUACUGCGAGACUAGAGUGAUGGAGGGGGAAGCGGAAUUCUCGGUGUAGCAGUGAAAUGCGUAGAUAUCGAGAGGAACACUCGUGGCGAAGGCGGGUUCCUGGACAUUAACUGACGCUGAGGCACGAAGGCGAGGGGAGCGAAAGGGAUUAGAUACCCGAGUAGUC